GUGGGUAUAGUUCAGUUGGUAGAGCGCCAGUUUGUGGAUCUGGAUGUCAAGGGUUCGAGUCCCUUUAUCCACC
rfam:Clostridium acidisoli DSM 12555 genome assembly, contig: EJ29DRAFT_scaffold00019.19